rnacentral:rRNA from 1 species
AUUGAACGCUGGCGGCAGGCCUAACACAUGCAAGUCGAACGAGUGGCGGACGGGUGAGUAAUGUCUGGGAAACUGCCCGAUGGAGGGGGAUAACUACUGGAAACGGUAGCUAAUACCGCCUACCAUCGGAUGUGCCCAGAUGGGAUUAGCUAGUAGGUGGGGUAACGGCUCCCCUAGGCGACGAUCCCUAGCUGGUCUGAGAGGGUGACCGGCACACCUGAAACUCAGACACGUUCCAGACUCCGACGGGAGGCAGCAGUGGGGAAUAUUGCACAAUGGGCGCAAGCCUGAUGCAGCCAUGCCGCGUGUAUGAAGAAGGCCUUCGGGUUGUAAAGUACUUUCAGCGAGGAGGCGUUACUCGCAGAAGAAGCACCGGCUAACUCCGUGCCAGCAGCCGCGGUAAUUC